CCUACGGGAGGCAGCAGUGAGGAAUAUUGGUCAAUGGACGAGAGUCUGAACCAGCCAAGUAGCGUGAAGGAUGACUGCCCUAUGGGUUGUAAACUUCUUUUAUAUGGGAAUAAAACGUUCCACGUGUGGGAUUUUGUAUGUACCAUAUGAAUAAGGAUCGGAUAACUCCGCGCCAGCAGCCGCGGUAAUACGGAGGAUCCGAGCGUUAUCCGGAUUUAUUGGGUUUAAAGGGAGCGUAGGUGGAUUGUUAAGUCAGUUGUGAAAGUUUGCGGCUCAACCGUAAAAUUGCAGUUGAAACUGGCAGUCUUGAGUACAGUAGAGGUGGGCGGAAUUCGUGGUGUAGCGGUGAAAUGCUUAGAUAUCACGAAGAACACCGAUUGCGAAGGCAGUUCACUGGACUGCAACUGACACUGAGGCUCGAAAGUGUGGGUAUCAAACAGGAUUAGAUACCCCAGUAGUC
rnacentral:rRNA from 1 species